GGACUACCGGGGUAUCUAAUCCUGUUUGCUCCCCGCACUUUCGCGCCUCAGCGUCAGUCUUCGGCUGGAAGCCUGCCUUCGCCAUCGGUGUUCUUCCUGAUAUCUACAGAUUUCACCCCUACACCAGGAAUUCCGGCUUCCCCUCCAAAACUCAAGCACGCCAGUUUCCAGCGCAGCCCCGGGGUUGAGCCCCGGUAUUUCACGCCGGACUUGGCGCGCCGCCUACGCGCCCUUUACGCCCAAUAAUUCCGAACAACGCUCGCCCCUUACGUGUUACCGCGGCUGCUGGCAC
rnacentral:rRNA from 1 species